UACAGAGGGUGCGAGCGUUAAUCGGAAUUACUGGGCGUAAAGCGUGCGUAGACGGUUAUGUAAGUUAGGUGUGAAAGCCCCGGGCUCAACCUGGGAAUUGCAUUUAAGACUGCAUAGCUAGGGUGCGGAAGAGGGAAGCGGAACUUCCGGUGUAGCGGUGAAAUGCGUAGAUAUCGGAAGGAACAUCAGUGGCGAAAGCGGCUUCCUGGUCCAGCACCGACGUUCAGGCACGAAAGCGUGGGGAGCAAACAGG
rnacentral:rRNA from 1 species